rnacentral:rRNA from 1 species
UACGUAGGUGGCGAGCGUUGUCCGGAUUUACUGGGCGUAAAGGGAGCGUAGGCGGACUUUUAAGUGAGAUGUGAAAUACUCGGGCUCAACUUGAGUGCUGCAUUUCAAACUGGAAGUCUAGAGUGCAGGAGAGGAGAAUGGAAUUCCUAGUGUAGCGGUGAAAUGCGUAGAGUUUAGGAAGAACACCAGUGGCGAAGGCGAUUCUCUGGACUGUAACUGACGCUGAGGCUCGAAAGCGUGGGGAGCAAACAGG